CAAGAAAUAGUUUAAUUUAAAAUAUUAAUUUUGGAGAUUAAUGAUAAAGAUAUUUCUUUUUUCUUGA
rnacentral:tRNA from 3 species